GAUGAACGCUGGCGGCGUGCCUAAUACAUGCAAGUCGAGCGAAUGGAUUAAGAGCUUGCUCUUAUGAAGUUAGCGGCGGACGGGUGAGUAACACGUGGGUAACCUGCCCAUAAGACUGGGAUAACUCCGGGAAACCGGGGCUAAUACCGGAUAACAUUUUGAACCGCAUGGUUCGAAAUUGAAAGGCGGCUUCGGCUGUCACUUAUGGACGGACCCGCGUCGCAUUAGCUAGUUGGUGAGGUAACGGCUCACCAAGGCAACGAUGCGUAGCCGACCUGAGAGGGUGAUCGGCCACACUGGGACUGAGACACGGCCCAGACUCCUACGGGAGGCAGCAGUGGGGAAUCUUCCGCAAUGGACGAAAGUCUGACGGAGCAACGCCGCGUGAGUGAUGAAGGCUUUCGGGUCGUAAAACUCUGUUGUUAGGGAAGAACAAGUGCUAGUUGAAUAAGCUGACACCUUGACGGUACCUAACCAGAAAGCCACGGCUAACUACGUGCCAGCCGCCGCGGUAA
rnacentral:rRNA from 1 species